UACGAGGGGGGCAAGCGUUGUUCGGAUUUAUUGGGCGUAAAGGGUGCGUAGGCGGUCUGGCAAGUCUUGUGUGAAAUCUUUGGGCUCAACCCAAAGCCUGCACGAGAAACUGCCGGGCUUGAGUAUGGGAGAGGUGAGUGGAAUUUCCGGUGUAGCGGUGAAAUGCGUAGAUAUCGGAAGGAACACCUGUGGCGAAAGCGGCUCACUGGACCAUAACUGACGCUGAGGCACGAAAGCUAGGGGAGCAAACAGG
rnacentral:rRNA from 1 species